UUCAUAUUUGUUUUCUUUCUUUUUGUUGAUCAGCAGCUUUGUUUAUUUUUAAAAAAAACAUUUAACGGUUAUUAGGUCAUUAUCUUUUUUCAAGUUUGAAACUGUUUUUUCGAUAUCUGCUUGAUUCUCGCUAGUUUUAAAAUUGAUUCUUCUUCUUUUCAAAGAAAUCGAUAUAUUAUUUACUGAUUAUUUCUAGAAUUUUUCUGGUUCUCUGCUUCUCUGCUGUUGAAACUUAGCUUGUUUUUUUGUUCGUAAUUCAUUACUGUUGCAUCGCAAAUAUGGUGAAGAGGAUCAGAGAUGAUGAUUCUAGCCCGAAGUCGAAGAAGGUGAAGAGUGUCGCAUCUUCAGGAAAAAUUGUGGCACUGUCUACUGCUGGGAAGAAGAAAGAGAAAGAUGGUGAUUAUGAUCCAAGGUAUAUUUCAAGUUCUUAGUGUAGUUGAGAUAUUUAUUUUGUUUUUUUCUAUUUUUGGAUGUUUUCAGUUUAUUAGUGUAUUUAUUUCAUGUUGUUAGGGUUUGUGUUUCAGUUUAUGUUGUUUUGUAUUAUACACAUAUGUUUUCAGUUGUUAUUGUUUUUCAGUUGAUAUUUAUAUUCUUUCAGUUGAUUCUA